UGUAAUUCAUACUUCUACUAGCAUGCUAAUGGAUCAGUCAGGUAUAAUGUAUGUUUGUAAUUCAUACUUCUACUAGCAUGCUAAUGGAUCAGUCAGGUAUAAUGGCUGUUUGUAAUUCAUAC